UCCAUCACAGCACAUUCAUCCUUGAGUUCAUUUCAUGAAUUCAUCCUCCCGCCUCUCAUCUUUUGAUCAGAUCUGCAGAACGGACGUCGUGCCAAACAGAUGAAGAGAAUCCUGACAGGCGGAGCAGAAAGAUGAAUGUUUAUGUAGGAGAUGUUACCGUUUUGGUUCAGGAUCCAGUUUUCUCCUCCUUAUUUUCUUUUCAUUAUGAGGCGUUUUCAAAAGAGGACAGCUAAUUCUGAAAAAUGGUCAAAAUCAAGCCAAACGCAUGAAUGUGAGCAGACGUCUGAGCUAAUGUCUAGGAUCAGGAGCCUUUUCUGUGGGCUAAGAAAAGGAAAUUGCGCCCCCUACCGAACCAAACUCUGCUUUCUGACUCUGUUCUGAGCCAGAGGCUUUUCUCCAUCAACAUGAACAUGUGCCAGCACGCCGCUCCUCAAUCAGAUGACCUUGGCAGCGGGACGCAGCCGACGGUCUCGGAGCGAAAGAGCCAUCCAUCACGCUGCAGACAGACCGCCUGUCACUCCGUUAUCAAGCCUCUGAAAACUCAGACUGAUGUCUCAGGGAGCCAUAUGGAGAGGAGAUCCAGUAUUUACUCGGAGGAGCUGUGAUUCAUGGCUAAGUGAUGCAAGUUAAUGAGUCUUGAAUGAGACAGACCUCCUGUACGGUGGUCGUCCUUGUCACUGAGUGUUUUUGUGAAGGUUUCAAGGUUUGUCUAAGAGAGUCAAAUGUCCUCUGUGAUCGUUUGAAGGUGCUCGAGGUGUCUGUCGGCUCUGUGCAAACGAGAGGGAAGUGAACACAUUCCAAAGUGGUGAAACAAAGCUGUUUUCCCAACCACUGAAAGUGUUUACAGAUGUGCCGUCAAAUUUUACAUUUCAAAAGUCAUCUCGGCACCAAGCACUCUUAAAUAUAUAACAUUAAAAACACUGUUGCAAAUCUAUCACUGGGCACAAAAGGCUUUCCAAGAGAAUAAAACACACACGCACAAACACUAGCUUAACUCGAUGAAAUGUAAAGCUCUGUGACGCAGCGAUCUUCAUUUGUGCCGUUUUCUUUUCUGAGAGGGGGUGGAAAAUAAUCCUAGCACAUGUCCUCAGACUCGCAGACUUGUGCAUGGUGACCAGAUGCUGCUCCAGCGGGACUGUGUCUGGGAUCGGCCUGCUGGGAAUCGGUUAGUCGAUCCCAUACGCAAAGGCCCUGUGCACACCUGGUACUGACACUGGGUAAUCCGAACACAACUGGACGGUGCUAAAUACUGGUGCAAACCGAGCCAAACACGCUUUCUGAUCUAAACUCUCAAACUGCAUGCAGAAGUGAGUAAGUGCACUGAGUAAUUGAAUCAAGUGUUAUAAUGCAUUAUAACACUUAUCUAUUCAUUGUUACAUUUUUAUUUUUAAA
ensembl:lncRNA